CUCUUACCAAAUUACAAGUGCACAAUACUGUAUUGUUAAUUAUUGGCAUUAUGUUGUACAACAGAUCUCUAGAACUUAUACAUUUAGCAUAACUGAAACUAUAUACCCAUUGAAUAACAACGUCUCAUUUCCCUCACACUCCUGGCAACCACCAUUGCAUUCUCUGCUUCUGCUUGAUUAUUUUAGAUGCCUCAUAUAAGUGCAAUCAUGUGGUAUUUGUCCUGUGACUAGUUUAAUUCACUUAGAAU